CCUACGGGAGGCUGCAGUGGGGAAUAUUGGGCAAUGGGCGCAAGCCUGACCCAGCAACGCCGCGUGAAGGAAGAAGGCUUUCGGGUUGUAAACUUCUUUUCUGAGGGACGAAGAAUGUGACGGUACCUCCUGACUAAGCCACGGCUAACUACGUGCCAGCCGCCGCGGUAAUACGUAGGUGGCAAGCGUUAUCCGGAUUUAUUGGGUGUAAAGGGCGGGUAGGCGGGAAAGCAAGUCAGAUGUGAAAACUCAGGGCUCAACCCUGCGCCUGCAUUUGAAACUGGUUUUCUUGAGUGCUGGAGAGGCAAUCGGAAUUCCGUGUGUAGCGGUGAAAUGCGUAGAUAUACGGAGGAACACCAGUGGCGAAGGCGGAUUGCUGGACAGGAACUGACGCUGAGGCGCGAAAGCGUGGGGAGCGAACAGGAUUAGAUACCCGAGUAGUC
rnacentral:rRNA from 1 species